rnacentral:tRNA from 1 species
GGGCGCAUGGUCUAGAGGUAUGAUUCUUCUUUAGGGCUGGAUUCGACCAGAACGUAGAAGAGGUCCUGGGUUCGAUUCCCAGUGCGCCCC